rnacentral:tRNA from 1 species
GGCGCGACGACCGGUCGGUGCGGCCGCGGUCCAGGCGCGGGGCGAAGGACGUGUUCGCCGGCAUCGGGGCGUUCAUCGCGCUCGUCGCCCUG